CUCUGAACCUACUCUGAGAUAAGGCUCAUAUUUAUACAGUCCUACCAGAAAAAGCAGGGUGGAACACACUAAUGUAUACAUAUUAAGGAGACCGAAUAAAUAAACGGUGGGUUUUGAUUCAUUUUCUCUGCUACUUGGAUAUCUUAGUUUUGGCACAAAAUGGAUUUUGUACACAAAUGUGAUCUCCAGUUAGGCUUUUGUGUUUGCUGAUUUAGAAAUCAUGUACAAAGGAGGAAAGCCUUGCAAAUGUUCUUAAAGCAAAAAGAUUUUUGUGCUCUGUACUGCAGAAGCAUGUACAAUCCUUGGUCCUGGCAGUUAGGUACUACACAGCAGGUAACACAGACCUCAAGAAUCUACAGCUGAAGAUGAAAGAUAACAGUGGAAAAACAUAUAAAAUACAGUUAGUCAGCUUGAGAAAUGGCACUCACUAAAUGCUACAUACCUAAUUGGCAUCAUUCAGCACAUCUGUGCCUCCAAGGGGAAAGUGUAGGGUCACUUUGUAGGUCACAAAGGAGUGCAAACCUGCUGUACCAGGAAAAGGCUGUGGAAGGGAGCACUCUGUCACACGCGAAAACUGUUCUACUUAAAGGAAGUCAUAAAGGUGUCGGUAACACCCAGCUUUAUUGGGACCUGUACUCAGUUCAGAUCCACCAGAGAGUACAUUCAGGUGGAAUACAUAUGGCUAUGAAAUCAAAAUAUUCCUGGGAAGCCCGUUAAGAAAGGCUGCCGGACUUGAUUUGAGCAUACAGUUAGAGCCACUUCUGUCCUCCAGCCACAAGCUGCUGGUUGAAGACCUGAUGCUUUAAAAGAACUGAACAGAGGGAUUUAUUGCCAGGCAGAACAAUGCCUACUUCAGCCCUCCUGCUUUCAUAUGCCUGUUCUGGACACUGCCACGUAGCUGCCUCUUUUCCUGUGCUCUCCACUGCAUCUUCCAUGUAAUUCUGUUGCUCGUUGCACAGUCUGUGAAGGAAGUGCAGUUUUUAGCCUGUUUUGCCAACCAACUCAAGAAGUGAUCUGAGUGUGCUGAGAUGCAAUGACAGCUGUGCAAUAGUUUUAAGGAUGAAUGAAAAACACUGGUUAAUAACCAUCUUUAAAACUAGAGCUGGAAAGCUUGCACACAGAACUAUGGGAAUAACUGUUGAGUCUUUAUCCUGGAACAGUACCUGCUAUGUCCCAGGAGUCAUGAGCCUGCAUGGUGAAUCACUUCAACUCAUUGGGCCAAGAGAAAACUAAUCUUUUUCUACAUUACAUUGGCACAGCUUCCUGUUGGCUCACCUUGCUGACUGAUUCAUCCUGGGGAUGUGUGAUUACUGGAGCUGGUGCCGAGGAAGAACUGUGAGCAUGCAGCUGGGGCAGUGGCCAUAGUGUGCUCAGCCUAUUCCCCUUCCUGCACCUGCUGCAGUUCCAAGUGGUAGGACUUAACCGUGACCAAUUCCCUUAAUCUGGAAGGAAGGAGAACUAUUAAAAAGAAAACAGUAUUAUAUGAAAAUAAAUACAAUUCUGUUAUGGCUUACAGACCCUUAAAUGGCUUACGGUGCUCUUCAAAAUCUUUAUGUGAUGCAUCCCAACAUAGAUGCCUGUGUCUCAGGAAGUCUUCAGAGGCCAGCACAAUGAAAAUGUGGCAAGUUGCGCCAGGUUAAUAUUGCUUCAUUUGCCUAGCAGUACUUCUCCUGCUUGAAGUUCUGCA